GCUUAUUUUUGAGUUUCGUCUGUU
rnacentral:snRNA from 1 species